GUUUGAUCAUGGCUCAGGAUGAACGCUAGCGACAGGCUUAACACAUGCAAGUCGAGGGGCAUCAUGAGGUAGCAAUACCUUGAUGGCGACCGGCGCACGGGUGAGUAACGCGUAUGCAACCUGCCCAUAAGAGGGGGAUAAUCCAUGGAAACGUGGACUAAUACCGCAUAUUGUAGUUAAGUUGCAUGACUUGAUUAUGAAAGAUUUAUCGCUUAUGGAUGGACUCGCGUCAGAUUAGAUAGUUGGUGAGGUAACGGCUCACCAAGUCAACGAUCUGUAGCCGAACUGAGAGGUUGAUCGGCCGCAUUGGGACUGAGACACGGCCCAGACUCCUACGGGAGGCAGCAGUGGGGAAUAUUGCGCAAUGGGGGCAACCCUGACGCAGCAACGCCGCGUGCAGGAAGAAGGUCUUCGGAUUGUAAACUGUUGUCGCAAGGGAAGAAGACAGUGACGGUACCUUGUGAGAAAGUCACGGCUAACUACGUGCCAGCAGCCGCGGUAAUACGUAGGUGACAAGCGUUGUCCGGAUUUACUGGGUGUAAAGGGCGCGUAGGCGGACUGUCAAGUCAGUCGUGAAAUACCGGGGCUUAACCCCGGGGCUGCGAUUGAAACUGACA
rnacentral:rRNA from 1 species